GCGGCGUCCUCGGCCACGCCUGCGACUCCUGCGCCAAUGCUUACGCCGAGGUGGCGCCUAACACUGGCUGCGAGGUGGUAUACGAUGGCUGCCCGCGUUCAUUCUCACAUGGUGUCUGGUGGCCGAGAACUAAGUUCGGUAUCGAAGCUGCAACAGAUUGUCCUUCAGGAACAAGCGGCCGGGCUACUCGGAUGUGCGAUGAUACCCAAGUGAUUCCCUGGCAAGAACCGGACAUGUUCAAUUGUACCACUUCCACUUUCUACCAACUGAGGAACCAGGUAAAC